UACGUAGGGUGCAAGCGUUAAUCGGAAUUACUGGGCGUAAAGCGUGCGCAGGCGGUUCUAUAAGACAGAUGUGAAAUCCCCGGGCUCAACCUGGGAACUGCAUUUGUGACUGUAGAGCUGGAGUGCGGCAGAGGGGGAUGGAAUUCCGGCGUGUAGCAGUGAAAUGCGUAGAGAUCAGGUGGAACACCGAUGGCGAAGGCAGCCUCCUGGACGGGUACUGACGCUGAGGCGCGAAAGCGUGGGGAGCGAACGGG
rnacentral:rRNA from 1 species